UAUUUAAAUUUACGGUGUACGUGGCUUUUUUUUUAAAAUUCGUUCGAACAUUUUUAGGCUUUGAGAAGUUUCCUCAGAAUCGUUUUUAAAACAUAAAAACAAUGAUUUAUUUUUCACAUACAAAUUAAUCUAAAAUAUAAUAUAUUUUUCGUCAGCCAGUAUAAUUGAUACUUUUCGUAUUUAAUAUACUUCAUACCAAUACGUUUAUGAUAAAAUAUUAUAAAAUUCAAUAACCGUGAGUAAAUAAUUCC